AUUUUAUAGAAACGUUUAGUACUCACCAAGGCCCUCAGUGGAACUGGCUGAAAAUAGCAGCAGACUCACUCAGAAAAGAGUUGGAGAGAUCCAUGGCAGGGAAGAGAGAUUAAGGGAAGGUAGAGCGCUUAGGAGAGCUUGAAAACCCGAAGGUGGAGAACACGCAGCUGACCCUGAACCUGCAGACGGAGAACAAAGGCAGCGUUGUCUCAGGCGGAGAGCUGACAAUUUUCCUGGACGGGCCAACUGUUGAUCUGGGAAAUGUGCCUAAUGGCAGUGCCCUGACAGAUGGAUCACAGCUGCCUUCGAGAGACUCCAGUGGAACAGCAGUAGCUCCAGAGAACCGGCACCAGCCCCCCAGCACAAACUGCUUUGGUGGAAGAUCCCGGACGCACAGACAUUCAGGUGCUUCAGCCAGAACAACCCCAGCAACCGGCGAGCAAAGCCCCGGUGCUCGGAGCCGGCACCGCCAGCCCGUCAAGAACUCAGGCCACAGUGGCUUGGCCAAUGGCACAGUGAAUGACGAACCCACAACAGCCACUGAUCCCGAAGAACCUUCCGUUGUUGGUGUGACGUCCCCACCUGCUGCACCCUUGAGUGCGACCCUGAAUCCCAACACGACUUCUCUCCCUGCCC
rnacentral:sRNA from 1 species